CCUACGGGUGGCAGCAGUAAGGAAUAUUGGACAAUGGCCGCAAGGCUGAUCCAGCCAUGCCGCGUGCAGGAAGAAGGUGCUAUGCAUUGUAAACUGCUUUUGUCCCGGAAUAAACCCCCGUUCGUGAACGGGGCUGAAUGUACGGGAAGAAUAAGGGACGGCUAACUUCGUGCCAGCAGCCGCGGUAAUACGAAGGUCCCAAGCGUUAUCCGGAUUUAUUGGGUUUAAAGGGUGCGUAGGCGGGUUAUUAAGUCAGUGGUGAAAGCCUACAGCUUAACUGUAGAAUUGCCAUUGAUACUGAUGAUCUUGAGUAUGAUUGAGGUAGGCGGAAUGUGUCAUGUAGCGGUGAAAUGCUUAGAUAUGACACAGAACACCGAUUGCGAAGGCAGCUUGCUAAGUCAUAACUGACGCUGAGGCACGAAAGCGUGGGGAGCAAACAGGAUUAGAUACCCUUGUAGUC
rnacentral:rRNA from 1 species